GAUGAUCUUGAAGUUCCUUUCCAACCUGAACAAUUCUAUGAUUCUAUGAUUUGCUCCCCAGUGUUUUGCCCUCACCAGCCCAAGUCCAGACAAGGGCAAGGGGAUGCAGGCGGGGGAACACUACGGCUCUGGUAGCUGCUGCCUGCCCAGGCUGAUUGCUGCUGGGACACACGGUCCUGCCCAGAAGGGUGCUGCAGCCUCCCCAGCCCUCUGUGUUAGAUCCAAACCUGUCCCGCUCCAUGUCUCUGAGUCAGCUUUCAGUUUUGCCUACACUUGGGCGAUGCUUUGAGCAAGCCUUCAUUCUUUCUUCAUUUUUUCAUGGCAGGAAGCCUGGAGCUAGACAAUCUUUACGGUCUUUUCCAACCCAAACUAUUCCAUGAUUUCUGAAUGCAAAAAAUACAUAAAUUCAACAAGGUUUAGAUUUCCUUGAUCAUCUCUGCUUAUAGAUGCUUUUUAAUGAUCAUGUGGCCAAGAUACCUGCUUUGCUGUGGUGCUGGCAGCAGACAUUCACUUGCAGAGUAUUGCAACUAGCAUUCCAUUCAUAGCUAUAACAAAACCUGAAUUUUUACUGUAUUUACGUCUUUACCCAACAAUGCUAGGUUGUUUACAGAUGUGUGGUGAAAUGAGUAGAGAAAACAAAGGAAAAUGUCUGUGCUUAUUACCCAGAAGACACUAGAGGCCUACCUGGGAUACAAGAAAGUGGGAGGUACUGCCUGGUGACCCUGUGUGUGGAAACCAGCUGGGAAGAUACAAUGCCAUCCUUCAGUGUACACGUCUUUCACCGUAGCAGCUGAAAGCACAAAAUAUUAAAAUGAUCAUUUAUUGAUGUUCUCAGUGACAUAUUAAUAUUUAUUUUUCUAGAAAUGUACAUCAUUUACUCUUGGCGCUGUAUUUUGGAAUAAAAAGCAAGUUAACCAUAUAUGACAGACACCUCUGUACAUAAAAUAUUUCAUUGUAUGCCAUGGAAGAUGAAUAAUUAACGUUCUUUUUUAACAGUAGCACAUGGAUAGAAAUAGAUUGGCGGAGUGCUGUAACAACAACCAUUUACAUAAUUUUCUACUUGCAGCUAGAGUGACUGUAAAGCAGCUGAGAUUAGAAAUGUUCCUAAAGACUGUGUAAGAAGGUACAAUUACGGCAUCUUCUUUCUCCAUCAGAAGGUGAAGAGCUGUCAGCAGAAGGUGACAGAGCCCUGGUCAAUGUCCUGAGCCAAGGAAUGGCAGAUUCCUGUGUGUCGGAGACCAGUCUUCACUGCAGGAGUAAGGAUUACUAUCACCUCAGCUGACCUGUGGCCAGACAGUCAGAAUACUCUUCUGGAGAAACAGAAUUUCCUGUUGAUUCAUCCAGGUCCUCUUCAGUGUGUCCAGUCUCCUUGCUCCCUGCAGUCUCUGAAAAAUGCUGGAUGCAGCAGAUGAAUCGAGGCCACGUGCAGCUCACCUUGUCACCCAGGGCACGAAGGACUUGUCUCUCGUAAUGAAGCUCCUGACAUGAGACGGCACAGCCCUUCACAUCACCC